rnacentral:misc_RNA from 1 species
GACUUUGUUGAAGCUGACUUGCCAUCUGAUGCCUUAAGCUCUGUCAGGCUGGCACUUGCCACUAACCUAGGUCGUGCAAUCCUCGAAGAGUGACUUUAUUACCCCUGUUUUCUUGCUUGAUAGAUCACUGGUUGCAUCUUUCCGAUCAUUACUUGCAGCAGAAAACAAAAUCCGGACUACCCAUUUUGUUAUUUGUUUCUUUUCUUGAAGGGGUUAACUUGAAAAGCUACAUAUGUGAAGCUGACACUGCAUAACGAAUGGUCUUGCCCCCUCUGAGCCACUUCUGUCACCUACAUGCUGCAGAACUAGACAGAGCUAAACCCCGUUGAAAGCGUUUGGAUGAGAACUUCAGGCUAUUUAUUUUUUUCUUUCUGGAUUGGGGUACCUACAAUGUAUAUGCUUUUGUAAACCACCACGAAUGCCCCUGCCCGUACCUGGUUAAUGUGUUGAGAUAGAACUCUGUAAAGAGUUGCUGGCUAAUUGUAAUAAUCAUGUUCUAUAUUU